rnacentral:lncRNA from 1 species
AGGGUACAGUCCCCGUGUAGGAUCCUGCAGAGAUGGCCUCUGCUCCAGGAUUUGUUACAGAUGCUCCCUCGGCCCCUGGGCCCCGAUGAUAAGACCCCAGCCUCUGCUUCCAGCUCUUGCUCCCUUUACUGCCCUGUUCACAGCUCUGUGUUACAGUCCCUGGCACGUGGGUGGCCUCCAGAUCCUUGUCCUUGGGGUCCUGCCCCCCCCAACCCCGGGGACCCCCGCUCCAGAACCCUGCCUCCCUCCCCAGCCCCUCACCUGAGCCUCAGCUUUCCUCUCUGCUACAUUCUGUCAGAGAUACGGUCCCCACCUCACAGGGUAGCUGUGGAGAACAGGUGAGUUCAUCUCCAAAGUCUUUACUUGGCCCAGAACCCCACACCAAGUGAGAGCUCAGAUGCUGCCUUCUGGUUUGUCCGUUUGUUUGCUUUUUGUCUUUUUUAGGGCUACACCUGCUGCAUAUGGAAGUUCCCAGACUAGGAGUCCCGUUGGAGCUGCUGCUUCUGCCAGCUAUGCCACAGCCACAGCAAUGCCAGAUUCAAGCUGCAUCUGCAACCUACACCACAGCCCACGGCAAUGACAGAUCCUUAACCCACUGAGCGAGGUCAGGGAUCGAACCCACAUCCUCAUGGAUACUAGUCGGGUUCGUUACCCCUGAGCCAAGGCAGGAACUCCGCUGCCUUCUGUUCUGAAUCAAAGGAUUUCAUCACGCGCCUCUCACUUCCAUUCUGAUUCUAACUCCGAGAGGGUAAAGGUCUCCUCACCACCCAGAGCCUGGCGACGUGACUGCUGCGGGACAGUCUCUUUUAAAAAAUUCAACCAGGACCAUUUUAGGUGGUGAAGGAAGAAUCAGAAGUCUUUAUUAUCCUCCUCGUGAUUCUUAAAGGCAUAGUGAUCAAGUCUUCAUCCUGCGUCACACAGAAAAGUGGGGAUUUCUGUUUGGAUUAAGGAAGAGGAGGGACAUACACUGAAAACUUUCCAGGCCCCGAGCACUGUCCAUAGUUUCAUUUCCUUUCUCAGUUGUCACCACAAUCAGCUUACUUCAAGGGUGGCGGGCAGGGUUAGCUGUGGUCUCCAAGGAGAAAAUGAGGAAAUGGAAGCCAAGGAGAAAAUAAGAAGGAAAUAAGGAGGAAAUAAGGAACUCACUUCGCAACAAGGAAGAAAUCCAUAUUUGAUACCCACUUUGUCUGAAACAAAAGCCCAUAAUUUUCCCAUAACAACCAAAGGUAAUGAGUGAACUUUGCUUGCGUGAUAGAUCAAAAAAACUAUAGCGUAGCAGGGACCAUUGUGGCUCAGUGGCUUAAGAACGCAGGUUCGAUCCCUGGUCCCACUCUGUGGGUUAAGGAUCUGGCGUUGUCGUGUACUGCGGUGUAGGCCAGCAGCUGCAGCUCCAAUUCAACCCCUGGCCUGGGAACUUCCAUAUGACACAGGUGCAGCCCUAAAAAGUAAAAACAAAACAAAACAACCACAAAAAGACCUGUAGUGUAAUCUUAGGAGAGUGAAUUAGUUUGCUAGGGUUGCCAAAAGAAAGUACUACAGACUUGGUGACCUUAAACAGCAGAAAUGUAUUUUCUCGCCAUCCUAGAGGCUGAAAGUCCAAGAUGAGGGUGUUGGCAGGGCUGCUUUCAUUCUGGGGCCUCUCUCCUUGGCUGUGGAUGGCCGUCUUUUCCCCGUACCUUCACGUAGUGUUUCCUCUGUGUGUGUCUGUCCAAAUUGCCUUCUCGUCUAAGGCCAGAAGUCAUCCUGGAUUCAGGCUCACCCUAAUCAUGUCCUUUCCGUCUAAUUACCUUUUUAGAAGCCCAAUCUCUGAAUACUGUCACAUUCUGAGGGACUAUGGGGUUGAGACUUCAGUGUAUGAAUUUUGGGGAAAUAUGAUUCAGCCCGUAAAAGACAACUACUUAACUUCGAACAUGGACUGGAUAUUAGAUGGUGUUAUGGGAUCCUUGUUCACUUUCAUAGGUGCAAGAAUGGAGUGUGAUUCUACUGGAAAGUGACACUUUGGGAGGGUGCCUGAUGAAACACGUAGGGUUGAGGAGUAACAUCUGUGCGUGACUUUCAAACAGUCCCACAAUCACAAAAAAAAAAAAAAAAA